GAAACUAUUAAAGUGGUUUGUGUCCAAACAGUAAAAUAAAAUGACCUAUUUUUGCUCCCUUUACAGUUCUGAAAUCUACAGCAUUGCCAUUCGUUUAUCUUAUGAUGGACACCUGGAGACUAAAAAAUUUCUAUCAUUGCAAAGCUCUGGAAAAUAGGCCAGAGAUCCCAGUCUCCAAGAGGGCACACUUUUCCAGGGUGACAGUCAUAACUGUAGCUGCCUAGACUCUGGGAACUGUUACAAAUAUGAUGUAUGGCACUUCCCAUGGUUUUUUUUCCUUUCUUAUACUUCAGUUUCUCUACCAUUUAAGGUUUAUAAAGUUCCACCAAUCCCAGGUGAGUGAUUCUCAGAAUCACGGAAAAUAUAAUUGAAAAUACUUUAUAACCCCAAGGAGCAACAGGUAGAGAUGUUAAUAUGAAAUGUGUUCUGAAACACCAGAGACGAACAGAUGUCUAGCUUGAACUGAAUUUUCCUUUCAGGACAGGCAGGUGAGGGCAAAGAAGAGGUUAGCUCCUCUCCUACCAUUGAAAAAAAAAUCUAAGUAUAGGAGGCGAACACGCUGAAUCU
rnacentral:lncRNA from 1 species